CGGCAACCAUCGGUGAUGAUCCUGAUGUAAGUCCGAGAUCUAGAUCCUCCGACACCUCAUCUACAAUUUUUCUCUUAGAUCGGAAGUUGGAGCUUUGCGAUCUAAACAGAUCAACGUCGUUUGCUUCGGAAUCAAAUUCCGGCGAAGCAGUAACACCUGAAAACUCCGGCAACGGCCGUAACACGCCUCCUUUAAGCACUGUUUCUACCGCCGACUGGCACACGUGCCAGUUACCCGUCCACAGUAAUCCUACUGCUCCGUGCACCGGGUUUACCGUCCUUCCGCACGCUUCGAACAACAACGACUGAAAUAAAGCUGCAGGUAUGUGAAAAUUACUGUCAAGCACGUGAAAAUUAUUUUUAAUUUUUAAGGAUGGCGAUGAGAUUUGAUUUGAG
rnacentral:misc_RNA from 1 species